GACAGAAAGCGCAGCCGUUAUUCGGCUUGACUGGGCGUAUAGGAUAUGUAGAUGGCUUUUAAAACUAAAUAUGAAUGGCUAUGGCCUUCACCAUUGACGGAUAUUUAAAGAUUUUUAAGCUAGAGUUGUGGAGGGUUUUGGGUACGCUGCAAGUAACGGUCAAAUCUACAAAUUUGCGAUGGAAUGCCUGGGGCGAAGGCUGUUUUCUGGCCACAACUGACAUUGAGGUAUUAAGGUUAGGGGAGCAAACGGG
rnacentral:rRNA from 1 species